AUCCAAUCUGGACUAGAAUCUCCGUGGAUGACCUUGAACUGUGUACCACCAUGCCUGGCUAAUGAGCUUACCCUCUUAAAGGAAAGACAGCUGAUCAGCACAUGGAACACUACCCAGGUCAAAAUCAACCCUCCACCAAUGCCUCAACGUGGCUGAACUCAGUUUUUUCUGCCAUUCCCUAGACCCAGCGAUUUCUAAGGAGAGUAAUCAAACCACCACGGUACAUCCAAGAGGUCUCUUGGGAUACCUUCAACGUGACAGAAACAUGACAGAGACUCCAGCAAAGAGGCAGCACCACCUUUUAGAGAUCAGGAGGUUCCCGUCUUCAGUGAGUGUGCCUGUCUCUGCUGCUGCCAGCCUUGCUAACAUCACAUCUCAGCCUCUUCAACCUCUCAGCAUGGACUGAAGACCAGUGGCUCUGUGGGACACCCUCAGCCCUUCACUUGGG